UUGAGAGGAGCAUACAACCUU
rnacentral:sRNA from 1 species